rnacentral:rRNA from 1 species
AUUGAACGCUGGCGGCAGGCCUAACACAUGCAAGUCGAACGGUAGCACAGAGAGCUUGCUCUCGGGUGACGAGUGGCGGACGGGUGAGUAACGUCUGGGAAACUGCCCGAUGGAGGGGGAUAACUACUGGAAACGGUAGCUAAUACCGCAUAACGUCGCAAGACCAAAGUGGGGGACCUUCGGGCCUCACACCAUCGGAUGUGCCUAGGUGGGAUUAGCUAGUAGGUGGGGUAAUGGCUCACCUAGGCGACGAUCCCUAGCUGGUCUGAGAGGAUGACCAGCCACACUGGAACUGAGACACGGUCCAGACUCCUACGGGAGGCAGCAGUGGGGAAUAUUGCACAAUGGGCGCAAGCCUGAUGCAGCCAUGCCGCGUGUAUGAAGAAGGCCUUCGGGUUGUAAAGCACUUUCAGCGGGGAGGAAGGCGGUGAAGUUAAUAACUUCACCGAUUGACGUUACCCGCAGAAGAAGCACCGGCUAACUCCGUGCCAGCAGCCGCAGUAA